GAUGAACGCUGGCGGCGUGCCUAAUACAUGCAAGUCGAGCGAACAGACGAGGAGCUUGCUCCUCUGACGUUAGCGGCGGACGGGUGAGUAACACGUGGAUAACCUACCUAUAAGACUGGGAUAACUUCGGGAAACCGGAGCUAAUACCGGAUAAUAUAUUGAACCGCAUGGUUCAAUAGUGAAAGACGGUUUUGCUGUCACUUAUAGAUGGAUCCGCGCCGCAUUAGCUAGUUGGUAAGGUAACGGCUUACCAAGGCAACGAUGCGUAGCCGACCUGAGAGGGUGAGCGGCCACACUGGAACGGAGACACGGUCCAGACUCCUACGGGAGGCAGCAGUAGGGAAUCUUCCGCAAUGGGCGAAAGCCUGACGGAGCAACGCCGCGUGAGUGAUGAAGGUCUUCGGAUCGUAAAACUCUGUUAUUAGGGAAGAACAAAUGUGUAAGUAACUAUGCACGUCUUGACGGUACCUAAUCAGAAAGCCACGGCUAACUACGUG
rnacentral:rRNA from 1 species